CCAUUUAGGUCGCCUCGGUGUUCCCCUUGUUGAUAAAAAUUGCCAGAUAGUAUCGAUAGAGGUACUCUUCACCGACGGUUACGGCAAAAGCAACUACCAGCAAGAGCAGCUGCUGUCAAUUUUUAAACAGGAAAAAUGACGCAGGCGCUCUGAGCAAACAACCUGUAUAAACACGCUUCUUUUCUUACUUUUCCUGAGACUUCAAAGGCAGACUCCUUGCUUUACCAAACGGCCUAUACCGCGAGAAUAUUCCGUCGAAAAUAGAACAGAGCCCACCUGAAACCUUGGUACCCCUAGCAAAGAGACGAACAAAUAAAGACAAUUAUCUUGAAUACUGGGUUGCCCAUUGCCGGCGCUGUAAAAUUUCAGCAGUCAUAGUGGAAGAAGAAAUGUGCACACACACAUAUAAGAAGAUCACGGAGUUUGUCUUGAUAAUCUUGCACCGUAGAAAGAUUAGUGCAGGCCAGAAUUUAACUAGUGAUAUACCCAUCUAUCAAGUAGGAACAAGAUCUUGUUGAGAAUAAUUGAGACUUGAGAUGUGGAAAUAAAUACUUGAAAUCAUAGCAACACCAACAAUAUAUAGAAUACAGAGACUCAAUAAAAUUGACU
rnacentral:sRNA from 2 species